UGAGAGAAACAUGUCGAAGGAACUCGGCAAAAUGACCUUGAAACUUCAGGAUAAAGGGUGCUAUCCUAUCUUUUGAUUAGGAAAGCGACACAUACCAGGGGGUAGCAACCGUUUAGUAAAAACACAGGACUCUGCUAAGUGGUAACAUGAUGUAUAGAGUCUAACACCUGCCCGGUAGUGGAAGGUCGGAAGGAGAAGUCUUAUAAAGUUUGAAUGGAAGCCCUAGUAAACGGCAGCGGUAACUCUAACUAUCCUAAGCUAUGGAAAUUCCUUGUCGCAUAAGUAGUGACCUGCACGAAUGGUGUAAUGACUACCCCACUGUCUCCGACAUGGACCUAGUGAAAUUGAAUUCUCCGUGAAGAUGCGGAG
rnacentral:rRNA from 1 species